CGUCUAUAUACGUAUAGCAUAUCAAUAAGCGGAGGAAAAGAAACUAACAAGGAUUCCCUUAGUAACGGCGAGUGAAGCGGGAAGAGCUCAAAUUUGAAAUCUUCAAGGUUCUACCUUGUACGAAUUGUAGUUUAAAGAAGUGUUUUCUGUUAGAGGAGUAGCAAAAGUUCCUUGGAAUAGGGACAUCAUAGAGGGUGAGAAUCCCGUAUUUGGACCAUUAUUUUCUAGCUGUGUGAUACACUUUCAAAGAGUCGGAUUGUUUGGGAAUGCAGUCCAAAAUGGGUGGUAAAUUUCAUCUAAAGCUAAAUAUUGGCGAGAGACCAAUAGCGAACAAGUACCGUGAGGGAAAGAUGAAAAGAACUUUGAAAAGAGAGUUAAACAGUACGUGAAAUUGUCAAAAGGGAAGCGUUUGACACCAGUGUUGUUUUUCCGAAAAUCAAUUAAGAAUGGCUUGAUUUUGUGUUGUAUUGACCUUAUCAGCUUUCUUCACUCUUUUUCGAGUCUUUCUUAAUGCACUUUUCGGUUAACAAGUCAACAUCAAUUUCUUUUGUUGUAAAAGGGUAUUUGGAAGGUGGCUUUCUUUUCGGAGAAAGUGUUUAUAGCCUUAUACCUCUACAAUCGGAGAGAUUGAGGUCUGCAGCGUAGAUCCUUCGGGGCUAGAUACACUUGUGCUAAGUUAUAGCUUUUCAUAGACAACUUGUUGACUAUGUUUAGUCAUGUAGCUUACCCGCUUGUGCUAUUUUACCUACGCUUAGGAUGUUGAGUCAUCACACAUCUCU
rnacentral:rRNA from 1 species